UCAUGCUGCUCCGACGUCAUGCCAGCGCAUAUUGGGAAUGACAUUGGCACCGAUCGGUAGUGACAGCGUGCACCGGACCACGCUUGAUAUUUGAGGAAAUCGACGGUACAUUUGUGUGUGAAUCCGAGAAGCACUGAGAGCCUCAGAUUAACCAAUCAGUCAGAUCGCUGUCUCGACUUCUCCUCAUCCUUCUUCGUUCCCUUGGUUUUUUAAGUACCUUGUAUAUGUUGGGAUUCUUUAGCUAGUUAACCAUCACAUUAGCAAACUGCUUCGGAGCACAGCUGCCGGAGUCGCGGGUUUUCUUGAAUCAGGCGUUGGACCUGCUGGAGGAAUGCUCUGCGAUGAUGGUGGAAAACAACCGCCAUUCAACCCAUUUGAGAGAUUCAAAGAACUAGCUACAGAAUAAAUUGUGACCGGGCUCACUGGCUGAGAUGGCGGAGCCAAACAUCGACAUGUUAACUGUGACUGCGAAGUUCCUGUAUGAACCGAACAACUCUGAAAAUCCAGGAAGAGCUGAGUGUGUUUUCUUCAAAGCUCAGAUGGAAUUUGAUGGACUAACAUGCUGCAUUUAGGACAUUAUCAAACUGGUAUAUGAAGAGUGGUACCACUAGAAAGUGUGGUACCACAAUGUCUCACUUCGUGCUUGCUCUUCUCCAGCCUCUGCUGUCACUUUGUAGUCACUUGUGUUGUUAUUAUCUUAUUUGUUGCGAUUUAGAAUCUGUGAGCACAAGCAGAGGUUUUAGCUCGGGAAGCAAGCGUGACCUCGUUUUCAGAGUGUAACUCCGAAAUGACAACACAGGCACGGCUUCUUCAAGACGGGUGCUUUGCUGCAUUUAUUGAACGCCGUGAAAACUUGUGGCCGCCUGCCACUUUGGAGGUCCUAGAACAAUAACUUUACAGUCCUGUGCAUUCUUGAACAGCUGGUAGACUAACCAGGCUUUUGCAGAUAGCUCACUGAACUCCUUAGCGUGAUUAUUAAACAUGGGCUGACAGCCUAUAUUAUCACACCCAAACCUCGCGAUACUAGCGGUGUAACAAAAACUUAUUCUUUGUGACAAGAUAAACAUGUCUCCUCUCCUACACAAGAUAAAAUGCACCUUUACAAUAUUAUCCACAGAAAUGUACAAGCAAGAACAUUUUAACUGCUGGAACCAACUAUUAAACUUCUUUAUACAUAAGGCAUUUAUGUGACACUUACACAGAGGCAUCUCUAAAAUUUAAUGAUUGUGAAAUAUGUCAAACUUUUCUCCUCUACUUUAUCAGCUAAGAGCAUUUUUAGCACAGUGGAGAAAAGGUGUGCACUGAGGAUCUUGAACUAUAGCGUUUAAGUGUUGUCACUGCUGAGGAUUGGUGGACACAGAUCCUUAUUUACUACGCUGCUGUUUACAGUUUAAACGUCUUCAUGAGAAAAAGCACUUUUAGUUGUACUUUGCUCCUCACUGUCUUUGAAAAGCAAGAGCUGAUCAAACAAAUCCAGUAAUUGCACUUUUAUCUUUAUGUUUGGUUUAGUAAUGUGUCUUAAUCUAUUUUGUGUUUUUAUUUAUCAUGUGGGGAAACAUCCUGUCAGCCCUGUGCUGAGAGGGCUGUGGUCAUCCAUCUGUCCUGUUCUGAUAAACCCAAAUUUCAGGAACACCUUCUUUAGAUCUGUUCAUUUUUAUUCAUAUAGCACCAGUCAACAAAUCUUGUUUCAUGUCACUUCAUAUUGUAACGUAGAAAACAAUGUUGCAAUUAUAUGUUAAUUGUAUAUAAUGGACCAUGUGUUCUUUCUGCGUUUAUCUCAACACAUGCUGAAACCAGCAAACUUACAGAAUAUACACAAAGUAAUUCUGAAAUCGCACCUCUAUAAUGUACAGCUCAGUUAAACUUAGCUGCAAAAAUAGUCUUCUUUUAAACUAUUAAUUCACAGAAUAAGCAUUCAAUGAAAAAUGCAAAACCAACAAAAAGUACUGAGGUUUCCACAUUGCAAAACAAAGAAACAUCGCAGUGAAUGUAGUGCAGUGUGAUUAGCAUGUCCUCUCUGAUCUAGUUUAUGUGUCAACAUGUUUGUAUGUGUCCUUGUGUGAGUGACAGAGAAAAAUUGUACGGGUUCGUACUAUCCUGGUGGGGACCAAAAUCUGACAUUUACUAUACUGGUGGGGACUUUCUGCACCGUGGGGACCAAAAUCCAUGUCCCCUCUGGGUUGAAAGCAAUUUUCACACUGAAAAUGUGGUUUUAGUGUCAGGGUUACAAUUAGGUUAUGGUUAGGUUUAGGUUUAGGGUAAUGGUUAGGGUUAGGGUAAGGGGCUAGGGAAACCAUUAUGCCAAUGGGAUGUCCCCACGAGGAUAGGAAACCAGACGUGUGUGUGUGUGUGUGUGUGUGUGUGUGUAACAAUGAACUAUUCUGCAUUGCAUUUGCAAAAGACCAAACUGGCCCAAAGUCUGUCAGUCAUUUGUCCACGAUGAGGCCGUUGAAUGUUGCCACCAUAGCUGAAAACACGCUCCACUGCAGCACUACAUGCAGGUACUGCCUGGUGGCCACAAGAAACAGUGAACGAAGAGUCUGCAUGUUCAUUGCCCAGAACAAGAGGGCGUUCUGUCCAUCAGCAAUAUCCAGGUAGUGACUUAGCUGUAGCUAGGUUUGUCACCUAACCCCCAGCACGGAUGGAACAGCAGGACUGAUCCUGACUAUUUUCUCACCUUGUGUCAAAUCUGUUGCUGCUCCAAAAAGCUUCAAGUUGUCCACCAUCUCCUUCAACAGGUUCAUGCUGUGAAUAAUAAUUCCUUGUGCGCAGCCAUUUCAAGAAGAGCAGAGAGUUUUAGAUGUUCACAUUGAAGAACAGCCUUUACUUGUCUCAGUGUUGAAUUCCAUCUUGUGAUUAUAGCAGCAGGGAUCGCUUUCUGUUCACCAAAAUUCAGCUUCAGAUACAUCUUUGAAUGUUGUGCUUGUGUGCAGUAGAGAGCUGAGCUUAGAUAACUUUGAAAGAGAAGGACAUGUCACUUUGGUCUCUCACAGCCCAUCUCUCACCACCAGCUGAAGUGGUUGUUCUGCGACAUACUGGGCUGUAUUUGCUCUUGUUUUGUGGGGAACUCCACAGACUUGCAGCUACAGCAAGUUUUUAUUUUUCGAUAAAUCAGAGUGAUGGAGCUGUAAAGGCAGGUUUCAUCACAGCAGAGGAUUUCAUUUAAUGUGCAUUCUUUAGGUUUAUAUCUGCAACCAGAACUACUCAGACUGCAUUGUGAGGCGGCUGUGCACGACCUGCAUUUAUGUUAAAUUAAAGUACUUAAUGCGAGCGUGAUUUCCCUGUGCGGAUAUGAAUGAAACGCUGUACCUGUCAUCUUAACAGUGGGCAGGGUGGUGGAGAUGUUCUGAGGGUGAGGCGGUCGCACUGUGAUGGGAACGCAGCCGGCGUACAGGCAGCCAGAAAAGGCUGCGAUCAGGUCUGUACCUGCAGAAGAAGGAGACACACUGGUGUGAACGAUGCUUGCAGUGUCCAGACCGCCUCUCUCCAUCAGCAGAGCUGCCACUCGCUCCGCCCUCUUAUUUAGCUGCAGACAGGUGAGAGAGCUGGACACUGCCCCCUGCAGGAGG